GAUGAACGCUGGCGGCGUGCCUAAUACAUGCAAGUCGAGCGAACGGACGAGAAGCUUGCUUCUCUGAUGUUAGCGGCGGACGGGUGAGUAACACGUGGAUAACCUACCUAUAAGACUGGGAUAACUUCGGGAAACCGGAGCUAAUGCCGGAUAAUAUUUUGAACCGCAUGGUUCAAAAGUGAAAGACGGUCUUGCUGUCACUUAUAGAUGGAUCCGCGCUGCAUUAGCUAGUUGGUAAGGUAACGGCUUACCAAGGCAACGAUGCGUAGCCGACCUGAGAGGGUGAUCGGCCACACUGGAACUGAGACACGGUCCAGACUCCUACGGGAGGCAGCAGUAGGGAAUCUUCCGCAAUGGGCGAAAGCCUGACGGAGCAACGCCGCGUGAGUGAUGAAGGUCUUCGGAUCGUAAAACUCUGUUAUUAGGGAAGAACAUAUGUGUAAGUAACUGUGCACAUCUUGACGGUACCUAAUCAGAAAGCCACGGCUAACUACGUG
rnacentral:rRNA from 1 species